rnacentral:rRNA from 1 species
GAUGAACGCUGGCGGCGUGCCUAAUACACGCAAGUCGAGCGAACGGACGAGAAGCUUGCUUCUCUGAUGUUAGCGGCGGACGGGUGAGUAACACGUGGAUAACCUACCUAUAAGACUGGGAUAACUUCGGGAAACCGGAGCUAAUACCGGAUAAUAUUUUGAACCGCAUGGUUCAAAAGUGAAAGACGGUCUUGCUGUCACUUAUAGAUGGAUCCGCGCUGCAUUAGCUAGUUGGUAAGGUAACGGCUUACCAAGGCAACGAUGCAUAGCCGACCUGAGAGGGUGAUCGGCCACACUGGAACUGAGACACGGUCCAGACUCCUACGGGAGGCAGCAGUAGGGAAUCUUCCGCAAUGGGCGAAAGCCUGACGGAGCAACGCCGCGUGAGUGAUGAAGGUCUUCGGAUCGUAAAACUCUGUUAUUAGGGAAGAACAUAUGUGUAAGUAACUGUGCACAUCUUGACGGUACCUAAUCAGAAAGCCACGGCUAACUACGUG